GACGUAGGGGGCCAGCGUUGUUCGGAAUUACUGGGUGUAAAGGGUUCGUAGGCGGUGUGGCAAGUCGGGAGUGAAAUCUCUGGGCUCAACCCAGAGUCUGCUUCCGAAACUGCUGUGCUUGAGUGUGGGAGAGGCGCGUGGAAUUGCAGGUGUAGCGGUGAAAUGCGUAGAUAUCAGGAGGAACACCGGUGGCGAAGGCGGGUCUCUGGGCCGAUACUGACGCUGAGGAGCGAAAGCGUGGGGAGCGAACAGG
rnacentral:rRNA from 1 species